rnacentral:tRNA from 1 species
GCGCGGCCUGGAGUUGUCGAAAAACGGAUUCAAAAUCCGCCGGGUGCAAGCCCUUGUCGGUUCGAGUCCGACCGCCGGUACCA